ACCGCGGCCGGCUAUGUAUACUAAAAUUGAAACAAUACAGAGAAGAGUAGCAUGGCCCAUGUGCAAAAUGACACGCAAAAUCAUAAAGCAACCACUUUUUUA